AGUGAACGCUGGCGGUAGGCCUAACACAUGCAAGUCGAACGGCAGCACAGUAAGAGCUUGCUCUUACGGGUGGCGAGUGGCGGACGGGUGAGGAAUACAUCGGAAUCUACUUUUUCGUGGGGGAUAACGUAGGGAAACUUACGCUAAUACCGCAUACGACCUACGGGUGAAAGCAGGGGAUCUUCGGACCUUGCGCGAUUGAAUGAGCCGAUGUCGGAUUAGCUAGUUGGCGGGGUAAAGGCCCACCAAGGCGACGAUCCGUAGCUGGUCUGAGAGGAUGAUAGCCCACACUGGAACUGAGACACGGUCCAGACUCCUACGGGAGGCAGCAGUGGGGAAUAUUGGACAAUGGGCGCAAGCCUGAUCCAGCCAUACCGCGUGGGUGAAGAAGGCCUUCGGGUUGUAAAGCCCUUUUGUUGGGAAAGAAAAGCAGCAGGUUAAUACCCCGCUGUUCUGACGGUACCCAAAGAAUAAGCACCGGCUAACUUCGUG
rnacentral:rRNA from 1 species